CUUUUAUCCCCCCUCUUUUGUCAAUACCAUGCAAAGCCAAGCCAGGAGGGAACCAGCUCAGCGACAUAUGCGUGGGUACACGUGGCACGUCUAAUUGAAAUAACUCCAAAAAGCAUGAAACACGAGAGAAGAGGGUCCAGUGAGAAUGAGGCACUGAAGAAACAAGAACCAAGGGAAAAAAGAACUGAUAACAAGGUUGCCCCUUUCCUUGGAAGUGACCAUGGCUGGGAGAACGAAGAGGCUGCACAAUGGAUGGUGAGAAACAAGAGGAAAAGAAUUCUCAGCGAGUGAUCAAGUCCACUGAGCCUCUUUAGGAAGCAUCUCUUAAUCGCCCAGGAACCUAUGCUUCAGGUGUUUUCACUGCUUUAAAGAAACUAGGUCUGAAAUCUACCAUCUGCUGCAGCCACAAGUGCAACUUAAAAGUAGGGCAAGCAACACCUUCCUUGCGACUGUCAAGCUGCCCAUGACUUCACGCUUUAAGUUCCUUCAAGGUUGCAAUGGUGAUACAAGCAACAUCUUUAGGUCUGCAAUACACUGCUGCAUUUAAAAGAAGGGUCACUGAUCAUCCUCUAUCCAAAGACGGGUAAUAUUGCUUCAUUCCGCUUACUGGUGAUGAGGCAUGGCAUCAACCUCCACCACAAAGUUUUCCUGCUGCCUCUAGGCAUCUCCCCACAGGUAUGGAAUUUCUCUUUUCUCCCCCCAUCACCAGGACCUUCAGUGCAGUGCCUGAA